rnacentral:rRNA from 1 species
UACGGAGGGUGCAAGCGUUAUCCGGAUUCACUGGGUUUAAAGGGUGCGUAGGUGGGAAGGUAAGUCAGUGGUGAAAUCCCCGAGCUUAACUUGGGAACUGCCAUUGAUACUAUCUUCUUGAAUACCUUGGAGGUGAGCGGAAUAUGUCAUGUAGCGGUGAAAUGCUUAGAUAUGACAUAGAACACCAAUUGCGAAGGCAGCUCACUACACGGUCAUUGACACUGAGGCACGAAAGCGUGGGGAUCAAACAGG